GGGGAAUUUUGCGCAAUGGACGAAAGUCUGACGCAGCAACGCCGCGUGGGUGAUGAAGGUCUUCGGAUCGUAAAACCCUGUCGUCAGGGACGAAGGGUUACGGCCUAAUACGUCGUAGCCUUGACGGUACCUGGAGAGGAAGCCCCGGCUAACUCUGUGCCAGCAGCCGCGGUAAUACAUAGGGGGCAAGCGUUAUUCGGGAUUAUUGGGCGUAAAGGGCGCGUAGGCGGUGAUUUAAGUGAGAUGUGCAAUCCCCGAGCUUAACUUGGGAACUGCAUCUCAGACUGGGUCGCUAGAGUGCUGGAGAGGGUGGUAGAAUUCCACGUGUAGCGGUGAAAUGCGUAGAGAUGUGGAGGAAUACCAGUGGCGAAGGCGGCCACCUGGACAGUAACUGACGCUGAGGCGCGAAAGUGUGGGGAGCAAAC
rnacentral:rRNA from 1 species